GUAGGGGGGCGAGCGUUGUCCGGGAUUUAUUGGGGCGUAAAGAGCUCGUAGGCGGUUGCGUAAGUCGGAUGUGAAAACUCAGGGGCUCAACCCUGAGAUGCCAUUCGAUACUGCGCUGACUCGAGUCCGGUAGGGGAGCAUGGAAUUCCUGGUGUAGCGGUGAAAUGCGCAGAUAUCAGGAGGAACACCAGUGGCGAAGGCGGUGCUCUGGGCCGGUACUGACGCUGAGGAGCGAAAGCAUGGGUAGCAAACAGGAUUAGAUACCCUGGUAGUCCAUGCCGUAAACGUUGGGCACUAGGUGUGGGGCCUACUUAACGGGUUCCGUGCCGUAGCUAACGCAUUAAGUGCCCCGCCUGGGGAGUACGGCCGCAAGGCUA
rnacentral:rRNA from 1 species